CACGCAGGCGGCCUUUUAAGUUUGACGUGAAAGCUCCCGGCUUAACUGGGAGAGGUCGUUGAAGACUGGAAGGCUUGAGACGAUGAGAGGGGUGCAGAAUUCCCGGUGUAGUGGUGGAAUGCGUAGAUAUCGGGAGGAAUACCAGUGGCGAAGGCGGCACCCUGGCAUCGGUCUGACGCUCAUGUGCGAAGGCGUGGGGAGCGAACG
rnacentral:rRNA from 1 species